rnacentral:rRNA from 1 species
CCCUUAGAUGUUCUGGGCCGCACGCGCGCUACACUGAUGCAUUCAACGAGUUUCUUCCUGGUCCGAGAGGAAUGGGUAACCUUUUGAAAGUGCAUCGUGAUAGGGAUAGACUAUUGCAAUUAUUGGUCUUCAACGAGGAAUUCCUAGUAGACGUAGUUCAUCAGACUGCAUCGAUUACGUCCCUGCCCUUUGUACACACCGCCCGUCGCUCCUACCGAUUGAAUGCUCAGGUGAGCCAUUCGGACUUUCAUCAUGCUGGUUUCCAGUUUUGAUGAAGGAAAGUCUUGCGAACCUUAUCAUUUAGAGGAAGGAGAAGUCGUACA